GAAGUAUUGGGAAUGAUCUAUGCCAUGCGAGUCAUUGUAGUAAUACAAGGCAGACGGCUCAGUAACGCGUCCUUUAAUAACCUAUGGACGGGAAUAACCUCGGGAAACUGACUAUAAUGACCGAUAGAACAUUAUGCCUGGAAUGGUUUGUGUUCCAAAUGAUUUAUCAUCGAAUUAUGGGACUCGCCUCUAUCAGUUUGUUGGUGAGGUAAUGGCCCACCAUGACUAUUACAGGAACGGGCUCUGAGAGGAUAGCCCGGAGAUGGGUACUGAGACACCGAACCAAGGCCUUAGGGGCGCAGCAUAACAAAAAAUUUGGCAAUGGCAAUAGCCCGCAAGGGUUAACCCAAAGGGUUUCGCCAAAAGAAACCUUUGGCCGGCCUUAAAAAACCCGAUAAAUAAGGGGUGUUUUAUUUCCGGUGUCAACCGCCCCGGUAAAAUCAGGCCCUCAAGUGGUCAGGAGGAUUUUUGGGUCUAAAAGAUCCGGAGCCCGGUCCGUUUGCUUUCGGUUAAAUCUGUUCCCUCAACGUACAGGCUGUCGGCAAUACUGCAAAAAUAGGGAGUGGCAAAAGUAAACUGCAAUCGGAAGGAAUGGGGAAAAUCCUUUGAUCUAAUGAUGAACACCUGUGGGGAAAGGGGGCUAACAAAAAACCUCCCAAGGUGAGUUUUGAAAGUUGGAGGAACAAACCCGAUUAAAUCCCCGGGGAACCCCUGUUUAAAACAUGACAACUCAUUGAAGCAUUGGUUUGUGGCCAUUGCAAUGUUGAAGGAAACCGGUUAUUUUUGCCGCUUGGGAAU
rnacentral:rRNA from 1 species